rnacentral:rRNA from 1 species
UACGUAGGCAGCGAGCGUUGUUCGGAGUUACUGGGCGUAAAGGGUGUGUAGGCGGUUGCUUAAGUUUGGUGUGAAAUCUCCCGGCUCAACUGGGAGGGUGCGCCGAAUACUGAGUGACUCGAGUGCGGGAGAGGAGAGUGGAAUUCCCGGUGUAGAGGUGAAAUUCGUAGAUAUCGGGAGGAACACCGGUGGCGAAGGCGGCGACCUGGGUAGAUACUGACGCUGAGGCGCGAAAGCGUGGGGAGCAAACAGG